GAUCCGGCUCAGAUUGAACGCUGGCGGCAGGCCUAACACAUGCAAGUCGAACGGUAACAGGAAGCAGCUUGCUGCUUUGCUGACGAGUGGCGGACGGGUGAGUAAUGUCUGGGAAACUGCCUGAUGGAGGGGGAUAACUACUGGAAACGGUAGCUAAUACCGCAUAACGUCGCAAGACCAAAGAGGGGGACCUUCGGGCCUCUUGCCAUCGGAUGUGCCCAGAUGGGAUUAGCUAGUAGGUGGGG
rnacentral:rRNA from 1 species